UAAUACAAAUUUAAUAUCAAGCCAGACCAAUUUUAUUUCUUGUUUUACGGAUUUUUGUCCUCGGGAAAACCUUAAGGCAGGAGGG